GAGUAUGGAACUGACGAUUUUGAAUCCACCGCGCAACUCCAAGUGACGUAAAUGAAUUUUACGUUUGUAUAUGUCGUUCAAAUCUUUCCAUGAUUUUUGAUUAAAUUUUACCAUGCAACUUAUUUUAUAGAUAUUCUUGAUUUAAAAUAUUAUUAAUUGUGGCUUGAAUAUCAUUAGAAUCGAACCAAAAACAACGCAGUGUAAUUUUACGACUUAUCUUGCUUAUUGUCGUUUUCGGCAAUGUAAGCAAAGCGGAUGUUUCGGAAAGCAUGAAAUGCGGAGAAAUCUCGGGUUUUCGUCUAUCAAAUCUAUUUAGCCGUACAACAAGGCUUCUUUGACUAAAAGAAAGCGAUGGUGAGCUGUGUCAUACUGAAAUUCUUCUGCCAACAAUCACUCGAAUGAAGGAAUCACGAUCGCAUCACCAUGAUCACCCCACCCCACCAUGCCCACAACUCUCGUCUGGUCUGCCCAGGUAUUCCUGUUAUUGUGCACACAUGAUGUCAAGAUAAAAGAGAAUAUAGAACAUUUUCUAUCUGCUAAAUGGAGACUUGAGAAGAGGUACGUUAUGGAACUACAUGUAUAGGGAUGGAGCUGACAGAUGCUCUAUAGGCCAGUCUAAAAUAUGAUGUACCACUGCAGCCCUCUCAUGUGGUGUCCUAACAUAUGGAUCAUCCGCUAUUAUUAAGUGAGCCAGAACAUCAUAUCAGCAAUGAGCGGGUAGACCAUUUGAACCAAUAUUUUGUUCCAUAAAAACAGGCAGACAAAACUACAGGUUUGAAAAUAAAUGGAAUAAAAAUCACUGGACAUAAUAUUAAUCCCUAUCCCUGUACUACUGAAACUGUGGCAUUGUCAACCAACUCCAUGUGGAACUAUGGAUGAAAGAUUUGAAUGAAAAACUAUUUGUGCAUUAUUCUAAAGGAAUUAUGGAUUCUAUUUCAGAAUUAAGACUUUUUCAGUUGAAGUUUGAUAUGAAAAGAGACAUUUAUCCUCUGUCUAUUUGAAAUGUCAAUGGCAUCAAUUACGUCUUUGAAUGUUGAAGUUUUCCACAUACUUUAUGUGCAAAAUACAUUAUAUAAUUUAAAUACUUUUGAAAAAAAAUAAUAAUGAUUUUAUAAAAGUAGAAAAAGACAUUUAAAAUAAAUAGUUUGAAAAAACUCGUCAAAUCACAUAUAAAUAAUUUUUUCAGUAAUGAAUUGUUGAAUUCACACUUUUCAAAAGUUAUGUCCUUUGACCGCCAUCUUUGAGGAAAACCCCAAAGAAUCCUCACAGUACCCUUUAUAGUUUCUGGUUUGUAACUUUGUCAUCUGAAUGGAAAAAAUUAUGUGCAUCUUGGAUAAUGAUUGCCCUAAGAUGGGCCAACUCAUAUAUCAAAAGAAAAAAUUAAAACACAGUUGAUUUAUCUGAGCAUGCCCAAAAUAUUUUGUAGCAUAAAGAGGAGAAAUGUCAUUUCUUUCCCCAUUUGACUUUUUGGUUGACCCAGAAAAGGGACAUAACUAUUGUUAA